rnacentral:rRNA from 1 species
AACGAACGCUGGCGGCAGGCUUAACACAUGCAAGUCGAACGGUUGUAGCAAUACAGCAGUGGCAGACGGGUGAGUAACACGUGGGAAUCUACCCAUCCCUACGGAAUAGCUCCGGGAAACUGGAAUUAAUACCGUAUACGCCCUACGGGGGAAAGAUUUAUCGGGGAUGGAUGAGCCCGCGUUGGAUUAGCUAGUUGGUGGGGUAAAGGCCUACCAAGGCGACGAUCCAUAGCUGGUCUGAGAGGAUGAUCAGCCACAUUGGGACUGAGACACGGCCCAAACUCCUACGGGAGGCAGCAGUGGGGAAUAUUGGACAAUGGGGGCAACCCUGAUCCAGCCAUGCCGCGUGAGUGAUGAAGGCCUUAGGGUUGUAAAGCUCUUUCACCGGGGAAGAUAAUGACGGUACCCGGAGAAGAAGCCCCGGCUAACUUCGUGCCAGCCGCCGCAGUAA